GACGGACGCUGGCGGCGUGCUUAACACAUGCAAGUCGAACGGAAAGGCCCUGCUUUUGUGGGGUGCUCGAGUGGCGAACGGGUGAGUAACACGUGAGUAACCUGCCCUUGACUUUGGGAUAACUUCAGGAAACUGGGGCUAAUACCGGAUAGGAGCUCCUGCUUCAUGGUGGGGGUUGGAAAGUUUCGGCGGUUGGGGAUGGACUCGCGGCUUAUCAGCUUGUUGGUGGGGUAGUGGCUUACCAAGGCUUUGACGGGUAGCCGGCCUGAGAGGGUGACCGGCCACAUUGGGACUGAGAUGCGGCCCAGACUCCUACGGGAGGCAGCAGUGGGGAAUAGUGCACAAUGGGCGGAAGCCUGAUGCAGCAACGCCGCGUGCGGGAUGACGGCCUUCGGGUUGUAAACCGCUUUCGCCUGUGACGAAGCGUGAGUGACGGUAAUGGGUAAAGAAGCACCGGCUAACUACGUG
rnacentral:rRNA from 1 species